CCCACCACCACACACUUUAUGGUCUGCAUCCUGCCUACGACCACUGGGGCUGCAGCACCUGACAACAGAGGAAAAAGCACACCUGGAUCUUACCAUUGCUACAAAAUGCAGCAGAUUCAUGCCUGGCUUGUUGGCUUUGGUGUCAGCCAGUUUGAGCAGCGAUGAAAUCCGGAAACCAGCGGCGUUCCCCGCAUAUCCACCCUGAGAGGCCACAUACAAGACAUCUGGCUGCCACACACAGAGAGGUCACAGCAGGGUCAAACUCUUGUUGCAGAAUCAUGGCAUCCAGACGCAGCCGAAAACUAAUGGAAGAGGAAAGAGUGGGACGGAUUGACGGAUGAAUGGACAGGGGACUAUGGGUUUACCUGGGGACUUCCACCAACAGCAGCAGGAAAAGAUCAGGCUCUCCAAGCCAGCUCCGCUCCCCACUGAACCUCCUCAGGCGGGACUCCUGAGAGAGAGAGAGAACAGAUGCCAAGUCAUAUCUGGGAAGCAGCUUCGAUUGAAAUAACCAACAUGCCGUUAACAGUCAAUUCCAAUAUCUUUCAGUGCGAUCCUUCUCCGGAAACAGACCACAUCAUAUGGCAUGGUGUAAUGGCAAACAUUUGAUCAUCCUAACCAGAGCCAGAUGAUAAGUCAGAGAAGAGGGAGGGGAAGGGAAGGAAAGGGAGGUGGGGGGGUUGUCACUGUUUUAUUUGUAUGCCAAAAAAAAGGCUCUUUACCUCCUCAUUGUCAGGCAGCAAUUUGCAGAGCUCUGCAAGCAUCUCUGCUCCGUAACGGUCCCCAGCACCGUGCCUGAUAUCCUCAACUAUCUCCUUAGCAGGCCUGCAGAAAAAUGACAACAGACGUGUUUUUGGUGUGACAUCAUUGUUACUAGCGAUGGGGUUUUCCGCCUGACACCUCCCCAAGAAAACUCCUCAGUAUCAGCUCUUUGUUUUGCCUUGAUCACACAAUGUUUAGGCUUAUCCCAUUCUUAUCAGUCAGAGUGUUGGGGAAAGAGGGUUGGUUGGCGCCAAACUGGCGACACAAAGUGGCAUAUCCACUGGGCAAAUAACAAGCAGACAUGAAGAGAAAAUGUCUGAAAGGCCUUGGGAUGUCAAGGUGAAAGAACAUAAACUGAACUGACAGUUUGACCUCUGACUUACUUCUUCUGACUGAGUGACACAUCUAUCCAGAGGUUUUCCAUUAUCCCUUCCCCUCCCCCUCAUCUUACAGCCAUCACACAUGCUCGUACUCCAUUAUGUGCAUGCUACUGUGUGUGGCUUUCUCUCAGAGCUCAACAUUCACAUCCAUAUUCAAUUCUUUGACACCAACAGUUCAGGGUCUACCUAUGAAGACAUCAAUGACUUUUAUAAAAACUCUCUUUCAAAAUGGAAACGUGGUUUAAUACUCUUAUUGUGAGUUAUCUGCCCCAACUAGUUCUAUUGAAUACAAAAUGCUGAGUGAAAUGGCCUGUAAUACUGAACUGUCACAUAAUAAAAAGAUAUUGAAGUGACUACUCAGACACUGACAAUACAAAACCAUACUUAGAUUAAACUACAUCCACAAUUCAACAGUAGCUCUGUCUGUGUUUAGAACAGCAGGCAAAUAAGCUCCCAACCAGACAAAUGUUUGUGUGCACAAGAGGCUCUUUUUUUACAUAAUGGCUUUCCCUACAAGUCUUGACAAAUCUGGUUUAGAAAAGAUCUGCUCUGAAGUUGAGUCUCUGUGAGCAAUUCACGCACACGUGGAGGCACGACAAUAUGGCAACUCAGCACUUUUCCCACGUCUUUUUAUCUACCUGCAAAUGUUGCAUUAUGUCAUGACUUUCAACAAAACGGUAAUAACAAUGUUUCAGACAUUAAACUGCAUGUAAGUGUGCUUUAACGAUUAUUAAACUGCCCUAUUCAUCACAAGAAGUGCAGCUUUUGUUUGAGCCAGACAGGCAUGCUAAGCAGGCUUUAGGGGAUGGAUGAAUAUGACAAGUCACCAGUGGGGUCUCUCUCCGCAGGGGGUAGCUUUAACAUUAGACACUCUUUAAGGGCAUCAGCAGGUGUCAACUCUGACUCCUCGGGCUAUACCCGGUCAUUUAACCACCACCCUCCAACAAGACCCCCAGCCCCACUGCUCAGUUUUCACCCUCCCCUGCACCUGUCCCCUGCAACAUACCCCUGUCCCCUCCCUGACACCAGACUUCCUUUCUCGUGAUGAGACUUCACAUGUCUGACACACACUGACUGACACUCAGCGUUGAUAUAUGGCCACAGACUGCUUCAGCUCAAGUGAAGUAAUGUUCCCCAGGGCACUGUUGUACACACUUCUGUUUCCUGCUUUUUAAACUUUGACUGAUGGUGACCUCCAACAAAUGUAGACAAAAAGGCUGACAGCUGAGGCAGUUCAAGUGCAGAAUACUUGUCAGGGAUUGGGCUGUAACUUACGAUCAUUUUCAUUAUUGAUUAGUAUGCCGAUUAUUAUCUUGAUUCAUAACAUUUGUU